rnacentral:lncRNA from 1 species
UGGAGGGGCCGAGCAAGGCACUUCACAUACAAUGCAAGGUCUCAAUGCUCACAACAGCCCUGGGAAGUAGGUUUUACUAUUCGCAGUGUAUAGACGAGGUAACCGCUCAGAGAGAUUAGCUUUCCCAAGAGCUCCCAGCUUUUAAGUGGAAGAUCUAAAUCCUAAAUCUGUUCGACUAAAAGCCCGGAGUAACUGGGCGGAGGGCCUUGUGCCGCUCCGUGCUGGUCUGAGGUCGGGAACUGUGAAUCAUAUUUAUUUAUGCAACGCUGAGCACGUGUCUGUGUGUGUAAUUCACAAACGAAAAAACAAAUCCAGGUCCGGGUAUCUGUUCUCUGGAAGUUUAGAAGCCUGCGUGGUGGAGAGCUGCCAAAGUCUGCCCUCAUUCAUUCGCUCCUUGGAUCCCCCUGGAGUGGAUGAGCAGUGGAUCCACUUGGAGCAGCCUUGCUCGAAGAAUACCCCCAGGAUCUCUCCUUGCUGUGGACUCUGGACAAUCUCUCAGUAGAAGUUCAGAGGCUCUUCCUGCCCAUCCUGUUUUGGAUGCUGAGAAGUUGAAAUGCCAUGGCUGGCAUGGUGCUGGAAUAAUCCAAAUCACCUUUCCUGGAAGUCAGUUUGCUGAAACUACUGAAGCCAGCAGUUCUUGGAAGUUGAAGAAAAGGAGAUCCGGCGCCUUGACCUGAGGGGUGUGGCCCUCCCGUCGGAACCGGCUCCAGACGCGCCCUCCUAGCAGCCCAGGAAGAUGCGGCAGCUCAAGGGGAAGCCCAAGAAGGAGACGUCCCGGGACAAGAAGGAGCGGAAGCAGGCCAUGCAGGAGGCGCGGCGGCAGAUCACCACGGUGGUGCUGCCCACGCUGGCCGUGGUGGUGCUGCUCAUCGUGGUGUUCGUGUACGUGGCCACGCGCCCCGCCAGCACCGAGUGAGGGCGCAGACGAGUGGCUUCCGUGCGCAGGGUUUCCUGAGCUCUGAGCAGGGGCCCCCUGUGUUCUCUGGUCUGUGACUUGAUUAAAGUUUCUCCACUUUUCUCGGGAAGGGAAUAGGGAACGUUUUAUCACUGAAUGUGCCAUACACCUUACGGUCCACUUCAUGUGCCUUUCAGACUUCAAAGCCGUGUGUGUGUGUGUGGGUGUGGGUGUGGGUGUGGUGUGUGGUGUGUGGUGUGUGUUUCUCUCCUCUAAUCAGUAUGUCGACAGCUUCACCUGGUGAGAGGAGGAAUCUCUGGGUCACGGAUCAGUUGGGAUCAGUGCUUCUUACCCCAUCCCUGUCGCUUUGAACAUGACUCUUUCCUACACAUGUUCACGAUUUCCGAAGGGACUGUAAUUCUUCUCUGUGCUUCAUGUGAUUUGAAAUAUAUGUCGACUCAAAAGUGAAAUAUUUAUUUUUUGAAUAAAGGAGGUAAUAGCCUUA